GGUGACCAGAGAGCAGUGUGAGGAUUUGGCAGCGACGUGUUGACGCUGCGCUUGCGUACCAUACGUAGGGCAAGACUGGAAGGCCGCUGGGAAAAUACCAGCAUCCCAAACGCAAAAAACGGACAGCGGGUCCACGUGCUAGGGAUUCGACCGCAUCCAAUGCAGGUGGGAAGAUCCCGCUAGACUAAAAUAGCUUAUCCUUAUCAAAACCCGGAAAUGCCAAAUGGACAUGUGGGAUGAGGGUUCGGUUAAAUAACGCAGGAUGGUGGCCUACAAGGUUUCAGUGUGUUUCUGGAAAAGGAAAUAAUAUUCAGGAUGCCUAACACCGAUGAGUGAAGCCUCAAGUUAAUGAGCCCUGGGCUGGAGGCUUCCUAAAACACUAUGCAAAUGUGUAUUAAACAAGGCGUAGAGGAAACACUGACCAUUUUAAGAUGGUUGAUGCAACUUCUGAAAAUCUGAAGAACUUUGUUUCAAGCUGGUAUUAGCAUUUCACGAAAAGGAUCGGGGAGUUCUGCAUUAGGGUGAAGUAGAUUUCUCAUUAACAUGGAUGAAAAAUACCUAUUGAUAGUAUAAUUCGUUGAGCAGAGGGCAGAAGAGGGCGCCGCAACUCUGAGCAGGGUUGAGAAGCCUGUUUGGAUCCAGCUCUGCCAUUCUGGGCCGUGAGGUUACCAAUGUAGCAGUGAAGAAAGCCGGGGAUCACAGGCUCUCCUCCUUGUUAUAACAUUAGUAACAACACAAGAGGAGAGGAAACCAAGAGAGAAGACAGAAAGCCCGGAACUGGCAACCAGGACCAGAGACUUGGAGGCUGGAAGUCAAUAACCAAAGUGCCAGCACAGACCAAGCUGGGAGGACUCCAUUCUGGAUUGCGGAUGGCCACCUUCUUGCCAGGAGUCAAAAGUGAGCAGCAGUGCCCACCUCUUGGUCAUGCAGGGUGAAGGACUGAACCAGGGCUUGUGUUUGCCAGCAGCUUGCGGCACCGGGAAUGAUGGACAGCCACGUGGUCUCUGGCUGGCAGCGUGGAUGAGACACCGAUGUGGAUUCAGAGGCACCAAGGACUACGAACAUCAACAUGGCCUCCACAGCAGCACUGAUCAUGGAAGUCUUUCAAGGGGACAACUCAGAAAAUGAAUCGUUCUUCAUCUCGGAUAUCUUGUUGCUCAGAGUCAGGGUGAUCGUGGGAUCGGGCAGCGUGUGUGUGGAACAGAAGUGGGCGUGGGGGGGGCACCUAGAAGAGCUGCGGCUCCAUUCUGCAGGCUGAGCGGCAGCAGUACUUGUCCUAGCAGGCGGGAACCGGGUGAGGUGGAUCCUAUAGUUGCUUGAGCCUCCAGGGUCCGAGGAGAACCUUCUCUACUGGGCAAUGACAUGCUCCUUUGUGCCCUCCCCCUGCCGCAGCCCUGCUCCAUACCCAUCGCUGCCCAGUCUCGCUUCCCUCUGUCGCGCUGCUCUGUUCUGCAGUAUGGAAAAAAAUAUACUUUAGGGGUGGGGCACGCCAUUGAACUUUUCAUAAUUUCCAUCUCUUUGCUGAAAUUCCCUCUGACUACACCCAUUGUCAGCUUUCCCCACCAGAUCCUUUAAUGUAUUGUUAUACUUUUUAAAAUUCUUCUCUGCUAAUUUGAAUACUCAGAUCAUAUGCAAAUCCGC
ensembl:lincRNA B230217O12Rik RIKEN cDNA B230217O12 gene